UACAGGGGGGGCAAGCGUUGUUCGGAAUUACUGGGCGUAAAGGGCUCGUAGGCGGUUUGUCGCGUUGUUCGUGAAAACUCACAGCUCAACUGUGGGCGUGCGGGCGAUACGGGCAGACUGGAGUACUGCAGGGGAGACUGGAAUUCCUGGUGUAGCGGUGGAAUGCGCAGAUAUCAGGAGGAACACCGGUGGCGAAGGCGGGUCUCUGGGCAGUAACUGACGCUGAGGAGCGAAAGCGUGGGGAGCGAACAGG
rnacentral:rRNA from 1 species